ACAAAAUGAACAAGCGUUUAUUUUCAAUGUAGUCAUUUCCAAAUUAUGGUGAGAUGUUUGCUGAGGAUAGAAGACAUCUUGAGUAUGUUGUGCUUUGACUCUACCUGCUCUGUAACUAAGCAGAGAACUUGUAGUUCUGGCAUUACUCCUGGACUUUGCAGUGUCUUUGCUUUCAGUUUCAACUAGAAUAAAUGAUCUCAUGUAAUAACAAACCUGACAGAUCUUCAUAAUUGAUCGCUAUUCUUCACAGAUGAAGGGCAUAGGAAGCAAACAGAAUAAAGCAGUAGCUUUUCAUUGGAAAUCCUGACUUAUGAAGGAAAAUAUGUGCAGAUCUCUCUCAAAUCCAUGUGUCAUCCUAUUGUCUUCAAUACUGCAAAAUAUAAAGCACAGAAUAAGACCACACAGGACUGCAUCUCUCUAGAGCAUAUCUGAAUCUUUCUUGCAUGGUCUGUGUAAUUCCGUAUUACCCCAGAAAGAUGAGUUAUGGAAUAAGCAGUAUCUUGUCUUUGCCUUAGUAUAAUUGCAGCAAAGCUGAAUCAGCACAUGGCUGGGAAUGAUGUUAAUUGUGUAUGCAUAGGUAGGGAGAAUAGUAGGGAGUAUUAAUGUUAUCUGUACUCGAUCCGUUUUUUCCUAUCAUUGUAUUUUCAACAGGAUACUUCUGUUCCAUAAAACAAUAUUUUUUCUUUUAGUGUAGUCUUGUUGAAAACCUUAAAUUUACCUGACACUUCAACAAUAUUCAAGUGGAAAAACUGAAACUAGAUACUUCAGGCUGGGGGCUGGGUCAACUCUCUAUCUUUCGGAAAGUCUUCAACUGUGAAAUAGUUUGUUUCCUGUCAUCAGGACACGAAAUGCUGAUGUACAGCUCACCAGUGCCUUCUGAGAGUUGUAAUUUGCUUGUUUGCUGCCCAGCUUUCAUAUUUUUGGCACCUUGCAAAUAUAUGAUACCUUUUCUGCAUGAAGAUAAAUGCAUA